rnacentral:rRNA from 1 species
ACGGCUCAGUAACACGUGGAUAAUCUGCCCUAAGGUCAGGCAUAACACCGGGAAACUGGUGAUAAUUCCUGAUAUACCAUAGAUACUGGAAUGUUCUGUGGUCAAAAGCUCCGGCGCCUUAGGAUGAAUCUGCGGCCUAUCAGGUCGUAGUGGGUGUAACGUACCUACUAGCCGACGACGGGUACGGGUUGUGAGAGCAAGAGCCCGGAGAUGGAUUCUGAGACAUGAAUCCAGGCCCUACGGGGCGCAGCAGGCGCGAAAACUUUACAAUGCGGGAAACCGCGAUAAGGGGACACUGAGUGCCAGCAUACAAUGUUGGCUGUCCGCAUGUAUAAAUAGCAUGUGUUAGCAAGGGCCGGGCAAGACCGGUGCCAGCCGCCGCGGUAACACCGGCGGCCCGAGUGGUGGCCACUAUUAUUGGGUCUAAAGGGUCCGUAGCCGGUUUGAUCAGUCUUCCGGGAAAUCUGACAGCUCAACUGUUAGGCUUCCGGGGGAUACUGUCAGACUUGGGACCGGGAGAGGUAAGAGGUACUACAGGGGUAGGAGUGAAAUCUUGUAAUCCUUGUGGGACCACCAGUGGCGAAGGCGUCUUACCAGAACGGGUCCGACGGUGAGGGACGAAAGCUGGGGGCACGAACCGGAUUAGAUACCCGGGUAGUCCCAGCCGUAAACGAUGCUCGCUAGGUGUCUGGGAUGGUGCGACCGUUUCAGGUGCCGCAGGGAAGCCGUGAAGCGAGCCACCUGGGAAGUGCGGCCGCAAGGCUGAAACUUAAAGGAAUUGGCGGGGGAG